CUGGUGAUCCUGCCGGAGUUACUGCUAUCGGUGUUCGCCUAAGCCAUGCUGAGUAUUUAGAGCAAUACAUGGCGUACUGCUCAGUACUUUAGGAUAACCUGCCCUUGGGUCCGGCAUAACCCCGGGAAACUGGGGAUAAUUCCCGAUAAGGCACAUAUGCUGGAAUGCUUUAUGCGUAAAAUGGAUUCGUCUGCCCAAGGAUGGGUCUGCGGCCUAUCAGGUAGUAGUGGGUGUAAUGUACCUACUAGCCUACAACGGGUACGGGUUGUGAGAGCAAGAGCCCGGAGAUGGAUUCUGAGACAUGAAUCCAGGCCCUACGGGGCGCAGCAGGCGCGAAAACUUUACAAUGCGGGAAACCGUGAUAAGGGGACACCGAGUGCCAGCAUCAUAUGCUGUCUGUCCAGGUGUGUAAAAUACACCUGUUAGCAAGGGCCGGGCAAGACCGGUGCCAGCCGCCGCGGUAACACCGGCGGCCCGAGUGGUGAUCGUGAUUAUUGGGUCUAAAGGGUCCGUAGCCGGUUUGGUCAGUCCUCCGGGAAAUCUGAUAGCUCAACU
rnacentral:rRNA from 1 species